UGCCUUCACAGAAUUUAAAUUGGCAUUAGGAAUAGAUUUCCUUGAUUUAGUAAUGAUAUUGCUCAUAGAAAUUGAUAAUGUGAAGAAUAACAAUACAGGAACAUAGAAUAGCAAGAAAGAAAUUCUAGCAGCAAGUUAGGUUAUGAGAUAAAUUUUAUUUAUAUAGUUUGUUUAAAGAGUUUAGUUUGAAAAAGGUAAAACAAUUAUUAUUGUCCAGGUCAUAUUUGAUAACUGUUGUUAAUUGAUAACAUAUUACAGGGACACAGUAAAAAGACAAAACAUUUAGACCCUUUGAAAGAGAAAUGUUUGCAAUGGAUAUUAAUAAAUUCUACCCAAUUUGUACGAUGUACAAUACAGGCAAUAUUUCUGCCUCCUAACGCACUAUUCGCGUAAAAGAAGAUGUGGGUAUUGUAUUUAUAGAACAGAUUUAUUAUUAGUUGGCUAGUGUGUUAGUAGGAUAGCCAUUGGUAGUUAUAAAGUAUGAAGUCGUCCGGUAUUAAUAAUAGGAAUUGAUCAAAGCUUAUACAUUUAUUGUGAUAUUUAUAUUGUGAAUUUAAGUAGUUAGUUUUGGUUGUUUAAUAAACGAAUUAAUGUGC
rnacentral:lncRNA from 1 species